rnacentral:misc_RNA from 1 species
AUUAGCAAUCGAUUAUUAUCAAAUUAAUAUAAGUUACAAAGUGGGAAAAAAAGUUAUAAAAUAAUUGAAGAAUGCAAAAAAGCGAAUCACAUCGGACAAAUCUUGAGUGGCUUUUUUUUUUUUUUAAUGAUAUUCUAACCAAAUUAUGAAUAGACUGGUUCAUCAAAGUGGUCUUCCUCCUCCUUGAGCCUAAUGAUUAGAUGUGGAACUAGUAUGGUUCAUCAAACUCUUACGGUACCAUGCAUUGAACAAUCUCCAAUGAAUACCUGAUGCAGAAAAAGAACCAAGGAUCCUAUUCCCAGACAAGUCUGUCUAAGCCGAACAAAUUUCAUUUCACAACCACAGGAGAAGCAAUACUGCUGAAUAAGAGUCGAAAGAUCCGUAUUCCCUCCACCACAUAAAAUUCUGCAAACUGAAGAAAAAAGAGUGUACAACUCCGAUUUCUUACGUCAACCAUGCUAAAUAAAAUUGGGGAAGAAAAAAUAGUGCAGAUUCUUCUCAAAGAGAUGGGGGAUUUUAACCUGCUCCAAAUCUAACUUUCAUCAUACAUGUUGACAAGGAUGAUAAGUUGAAGCAAUAAAUCAAGUCCCAAGAUGCAUCCCAUAAUCUGUUCCAAAAAACCUCUCGUAGCAUCUAAAAUCACCAAGCACAAAACACACACCUACUAUACACAUUACCAAUGCAAGGUCCAAUCCUCACCAUGUCCACUAAAACCCAUCUCCCAUCCUAUCUCUUCCCAUACCAAACCGAUCAUCCCACCCUCGAUCCAUGUACAUGUCCCGACGAUAGUCUUUUGCUGGUGGGCCAACCCUGAUUGGGGAUCUGCUCCUCUCUCUCACAUCCUGCCCCCUUCGGCCUCGCUGAGGAAGAACUGGUGGUGGAAGUAGCGGUGGAGAGGGCAACCGCCUCUCAAACCCUUUCCUCUCAUUCAAAAAGUUAUCCCUUCCUCGGUCUCUCUGACCCCAGUCCACUGGCAUUGCCCUAUCAAAUUCGUUUCUCCCUCUGUAGUCAUCAUCAGGAUAAUCAGUCUGAACUCUCCGCAUGUCAUGAUCAGAAAACCUGGCUCCAUGUCUAGGAGGUGGAGGACCACCAGGCCCAAAAUCUCUUGGGCCAUCUCUGGCCCAGCCAUGAGGAGGAGACCUAUACCCAUUCAUGAUCCUGCCUGGCGAAAUAUCCAAUGGAGGACCAGAGAAGCGUCUAGGAGGUAGAGGGCCGGGAUAGCCCCUCCCAAGACUUCCCCCAGGUCCAUACCGAGGCCUCUUACAGUUGUUACAAUACUCUCUCCUUGCAAAGUUCAGGUUGCCACAUCUGAGACAAGGUAAAACUAUUAGAUGAUUCUAUCUUAAACAAGAACAUGAUAAAACUAAAAUCAAAUUUUAAAAUCUUAAGUUUUGUCAUUUCUGUUCUGUAGAUGACCAAAUAUACACCCAGCGAAAGAGAGGGGAAUGGGAAAUAAUCACAUAGUAAACUCUUAUUCUCAUAUAAACUCAAUGUCAAAGACCUAGCACAAUUGCGUGUAGGAAACAUUCAAGAACAGCAAAAAAAUAUAUAUAUAUAUCUUCCUAUGAAGUUAACAAAAUAAAUUUGAACUUCCAGAUUCACAACACUACUACGAAUUGAGAAUUGGAUUCUUGUAAGCCCUCAAAUGACUUUGAAGAUUGUAAGUCUCUUGCUCACCCAGAAAAUAUAUUGGGAAAAAAAAAAAAGGAACCAACUUACAAAAUUUAGUGAUUCAAAAAUCAAAAUCAAUCAUGCUGUUCUCCUAUUCCAAAUUUCUGCAACAAAUAGCAUUUCAUGCACAGCAUCAAAAAUCAUAACCAAAAAUAUUUUUCCAAAUAAGGGUCAGAAUUGGGUAUUCUAAUGGUCUCCCUUCCCUUGGGCAUUAAGAUAUUUAAAGGGUGAAAAACAGUAAAUAUACAGAAUCAAAAUGAAGAUAUCAACUUACAGAGGAUCAAAGCAAAUCCAAUCUCCUUCUCUUGGGCGUACAUUGGGAUUAUUCCUACUGACACCCUCUCCUCUAAAAGAGCCAGGGCCAAAUCCAGGGCCCUCAAAACCUCUACCCGGUGGUCUGCCACCAACUCUUCCUCGAGCAUAAGGGGGUGAAGAGUCACGAAAUCUACCAGGAUCUCUCCUCCCACCAAAUUCACGACCUCUAGGUGGACCCCCUGAAUGAUCAAAAUCAUAACUGUAUCGGUGAUCCCUACAGCGCACAGGAGAACUGGAACCUGCAUGUAUUCUAUAUCCUGGAAAAAAGCCAGUGAAAUAUAAAGAUGAGCAACCCCCAAUAAAACAAGGGAGAAAUUUUUUUAGUACAAAGUAGUAAUGCUAUCCAUAAUUUUAGACCCAAGAAAAGUGAAAUGACCACUUCAAUAAAACUGGAUAUUAAUCAUUACUCAGGAUAUCUCCUCACAAAAGGUUCCAGAAAAAGAGAAUAUCAGUGUGCCAUUGACGUCUGAACUUCCCUCGUUGCUUACCAUUCAAGAUUGAUUGUCCACAUUAUCUGUAAGUACAACUGAAGCAGUGCUAAACCAAGAUUACUUGACCUCACCAUACAUGAGUGCAAAACAAGUCCAAUGUUCCUACAUUAAUGAGUCAACCAUUACAUGCUUAAUUAUACCUUUCUAACCUAUCCGCUGAACUACCCAUCCCAAAUAAUGAAUCUGGCGUAGCCAAAACUUCAUAAUAAGAAACACUGGCAGCAAUGGGAUAGCAAAUUGUGAAUAUCUACAGCCUGGAGAUAAAAACAGAUUGAUAUAUUGCUGGCUUACAGACAUCCACAGAGGAGAUCAUUAACCCAAGCACAAGUUUGUUCCAAGAACUUUAGUCAAAACAUGCCUUCAAAAGAGAUCCCUGAAAAUAACAAAAGAAACCAUAUGCAGGAAAAAUCACCAACAGAAGACCCACCACAGUUCACAGUAGCCAAACAAUUUGAAAUUAACCAGCUACCAGUUUGUUAUUCUCAAAAACCAUCUCAGCAAGUUUAAAAAGGUUCAAACAUAAUCCUAUAAUUUCCACCCCAACCACAAUCCACAAUGUGCAAAACACCAUGGAGGCCUGAAGCUGUAAUGGCAUGCCAGAUUUCCAGAGGUGUUAUUUGUCAUUUUCCAAUCUGCCACUGGUUAUGCUUGCCUAGAAGUUUAAAGCCCACGAAAGAAAGGGGAACUGGUGCCCCACAGAAACGAUCAUCAAAGAGUUUAAGAGACGCGCAUCAACUUCCCAGACUAAAUUUGCCACCCAUUAUACAGAAGUUAACAACAAACAUAAAAGGUCUAACAGAAGCUAGAAAAGUAACAUGUGAACAGAAGACCCCAAUUUUUAUGCACUUAACACCCAAUAAACAAUCAAAUCGUCCGAAACCAUUGAAAUGACAAAAAGAAAACUAAAAAACAAAAAACCCAGUCAAGUCCCCAAUUCCACAAGGAUAAUUCCAUUCCACAAAUCCAAGUAGCAGCUAGAGUUUCAGUUACCAGGAAGUUCAAUAUCACACACCUCCAUCCACACACAUCGUAUCCGGUGACUGAAUGCCAGGAACAAGAAAUGUUGAGCCUGCAGCACUUAAACAAAGCCUUGGACCCCAAAUGUAGAAGCCUCACUGCUGCUUAAAACCAACAUUCCAACCUCAUAUAAUUAUGGUAGACAAGCCAACACCCCUCAAACCAUUUGUCACUACCAUUAUCUCAGUAUCCUUAAGAGCAAAUUCCUUGUAAAAAUGCAAUUUAGACACUUUGAAAUUAAAAACUAACAUAUUGCUGAAGCUGGUGCCAUAUUCAGUUAUCCCACACAAUUCCACACCAAAACAUAUAGCAAUGGCUUCAAAAAAAAUGAGUUGCCUACACCCCUCAUAAUAUUGAUAGUUGACAUUACCCAAAACCAUAUUAACCAUAAUGUGAUAGAAAACCCAGAGACCACGAUCCAAGAUUGCACUCACACCAACAUGCAUUCCUCAAGACCCAAGUUCUUGCAGACAACAUUCAAAGCAUGAUCGCCAGAGUAUCGAUCAGGACGAGAAUAAGGGGGAGGCUCCCGACGGACCUCGCCAGGCUCGUAGUCACUACCAGCAGCGUGACCUCCCCCGCCACCGUCUCCGCCGUCGCUGACGGAAGGGCGUACGACGAGGCUGCUAAGGAGGGGCUGGUGACGAUAUGUCAUUUGGUCCUUGUAUCUCGACCCCAAAUUGAGGUUUCUGUUUCUCUCUCGGUUGGAGCGAUAGCUAUAUAAACUUCAGGAUGUGACGUCGCCUCAGAUUUUUUU